GGUGAGAUGGCCGAGCGGUCUAAGGCGCCAGACUAAGGUUCAUAUUCCCUCUUCGGUGGGAUUCGAACUCGGAAUCUGGUCCGAAAGGGCGUGGGUUCGAAUCCCACUCUCAUCA
rfam:Fomitopsis pinicola FP-58527 SS1 unplaced genomic scaffold FOMPIscaffold_38, whole genome shotgun sequence.